UAUACUCCCUCCUUUUCUUUCUCCUCGUUCUGGCUCUCUUGCGAUGGUGGGGGAAGCCGCCGCGGCCGACAAGCCCUCGGGGUCGCCGGCGAGCGGCGAUUUCGUCAUCAGCCACUGGCGGCGGUUCCGCCCGGCGACCAGACCGGUGGCCCUGGACGUCGGCCGCGCCUCCCCCGGUGAUUUCGAGCGCGGCCAUCGGACCGGAUACACCAGCCUCCGCGACCUCAUCGGCUCGCCUCCGCUCCCAAGCGGGGCCCUGUCCCCGGCCUCCCCCUGCGGCGGCGACGGGGGAGGGGAGAUCCGGAUCAAGAACCGCCUCGUGAAGCAGGCGGCGUACGCGUACCUCCAGCCGACACCGUCCGCGGGGGGGCACGACUUGCACCGCCGUCGCCGCUGCUUCAGAUCGCUCCGGCAGGCCCUUGCGUUCCUCACCUGCGGCAUCGCGGUGGAGCCGCUCGACUCCUGCAUCGAGUUCCUCCGCCGCCUCUUCCGCCGUCCACGGCGAUGACUCCUCUUGACCCCAGCGCUAACGGCGUUUGACGGCACAGCGUAACGCCAUCCAGGAUGAACUCGAACGAAUUUGGAAGGUUCUGGCCAUGCAAUUCACAACUGGAAGACGGCCUAGACAUUUUCAAAGAUUGGGACGGACCACCAGAUUCAAUGAAUUCUUUCAUCCUGGGAUCUUGAGAGAAGAAUAUACAAAGUUGAGGUCAGGGAUAAAAUGAUAGAAGGGGUUUUUCUGCUACUUCAUUUCGUCCCUUAGUUUAUAGUCAUGGAAGGCAAAGUUUUAAUGAUGCACAUGAUAAAAAGAGGGGUCAAGGUGUUCAGCUAGUAGUCAUGACAAGUGAUCCUGAUGAAGAAGAAAAUGAUCGAUGAUGUGAGCUUGGUAUAGACACAUGGUUAUGAUUCAAGUAAUGAGAACGAGGACGUCCAGAUGGAUAGCACUUAUGGUUCUAUGGGUAGAAAGACUUUCGGAUGGAUAGCCCUUAUGGUUCUAUGGGUAGAAAGAUUUAUUGAUAAAAGAGAGGGAGAGAAUUAUUUGAGAGAA